rnacentral:ncRNA from 5 species
GGCUGGAUCACCUCCUUUCU